AUGGAACUUCAAACAUUCCUUUAUGAGAUGGUUAUUGAAGACUUACUGUGAACUAAGCCCACAAAUGAAAUGAUUCCCCUGAAUCUUCUCUACGGCUUGGUGCCCAGACCUGGAAUGGAUGGCUCUCUGUUUCAGAGUCCUGCGAUACAAUGAGUUACAAGAAACAUGUAUUUGGUCAUUCAGAUGACCAAAUAUAUAUUUCCCAGGUACACUUGUUCUUCACCCACAGUUCCUGAAAACACUUCAGAGCCUUAAAGAGAACCAUGCAACUCUGGGGACCCAGAAAGCGUCCAUGUGCCACUGAGCCAGGCCCCAACCUCCACUAGGAUAGAAGCUCCUUCAUUUGGGACCUUGCCCUAUGUCUCUUUUCAUCUGGCUGUUAACUUGAAAAGGGUUUUUGGGGCAGUGGGAACAAGAAUGGAUGAAAU